rnacentral:misc_RNA from 1 species
GAAAAAGCUUCUCCUUUUUCCUUCCAAACUCCGCAUUCUCUUCAGCUUCAUCAUUCAUUAGCUGCAAAUUUGAAGGGAUGAACAGGCUCUGUAGGGGAUCUGCUAUUCUAAUUCUGUGCUUCUUCUCCAUAUCUUUGUUUCUUCCUGUGAGAGAUGAGGGACAAAAUGACACUUUCAUCUGCAGUCAUGGUACCUAUUGGGACAGAACCAAGACUGUCAUCCAUCGAGCUAAGGCCUACUUCUUUCCUCCGAAUACAGGGUAUAUAUAGUAAGUUCCUUGACAUUUAUAUGAAUAACACAUUUCUAAUAUUUGGCAUCUAAUUUAAAAAGAAAAAAAAAAUAAAUUUCUUUUCUGAGAUUUAGUUUCAGAGGCAGCAAUGAGGCUGGAGAGUAGAUAGACGUGGUAGCUGAAUGGAAAAUGAAAGAAGCAGUUUGGCCACAGUGGACCCUGCCAAAUCUGCUGCCAAAAUAGCUGUGAAACAGUGCACAACGCAAAGGAGAAGGUGAAACGAAGCCCAUCCUAUAAGGGACGACAUGAAUCUGAUCAUAGCAAGCUUGGAUCACUGUCAAUGACUAGAAGCAAACAACGAAAACAAAUCCAAUCGAAAGAAUUCCUCAGGCUUUCCGUUGGGGGUGAAAUAUGUAAUCAAACAAUUUUAUCAAGUGUAGUUGAUAAACGAUCUUAAAGCAUUCUGUUUUCAUUGAAUUGAAGGGAAGUAAAAAUCUUCUCCUUCACGAGCAGCUCAGGGCUCCAAGGGCAUUGGGUAGCUGUUAGCCUACGAAAAGUGGUUCUAGACAAGACUAUUAUUGGCUGUCAGGGGAAGCGGAGGAACAGCAUCACUCUGCUAUUUUCAAGGUCCAGACUCAUCUCCAAACUG